rnacentral:tRNA from 1 species
GGAGAGAUGGCCGAGUGGUUGAAGGCGGCGGUCUUGAAAACCGCUAUACGGGAAACUGUAUCGGGGGUUCGAAUCCCUCUCUCUCCGCCA